rnacentral:rRNA from 1 species
GAUGAACGCUGGCGGCGUGCCUAAUACAUGCAAGUCGAGCGAACGGACGAGAAGCUUGCUUCUCUGAUGUUAGCGGCGGACGGGUGAGUAACACGUGGAUAACCUACCUAUAAGACUGGGAUAACUUCGGGAAACCGGAGCUAAUACCGGAUGAUAUUUUGAACCGCAUGGUUCAAAAGUGAAAGACGGUCUUGCUGUCACUUAUAGAUGGAUCCGCGCUGGAUUAGCUAGUUGGUAAGGUAACGGCUUACCAAGGCAACGAUGCAUAGCCGACCUGAGAGGGUGAUCAGCCACACUGGAACUGAGACACGGUCCAGACUCCUACGGGAGGCAGCAGUAGGGAAUCUUCCGCAAUGGGCGAAAGCCUGACGGAGCAACGCCGCGUGAGUGAUGAAGGUCUUCGGAUCGUAAAACUCUGUUAUUAGGGAAGAACAUAUGUGUAAGUAACUGUGCACAUCUUGACGGUACCUAAACAGAAAGCCACGGCUAACUACGUG